rnacentral:rRNA from 1 species
AUGAACGCUAGCGGCAGGCUUAACACAUGCAAGUCGAGGGGCAGCGCGGGAUAGCAAUAUCCUGGCGGCGACCGGCGGAAGGGUGCGUAACGCGUGAGCGACAUGCCCGUUGCCCGGGGACAACCGGUGGAAACGCCGACUAAUCCCCGAUGGGAUACGAUGCUUCAUGGCAUUGUAUUGAAAGUUACGGCGGCGACGGAUUGGCUCGCGUCCGAUUAGCUUGUUGGCGGGGUAACGGCCCACCAAGGCUACGAUCGGUAGGGGUUCUGAGAGGAAGGCCCCCCACAAUGGGACUGAGACACGGCCCAUACUCCUACGGGAGGCAGCAGUGAGGAAUAUUGGUCAAUGGGCGGAAGCCUGAACCAGCCAUGCCGCGUGCGGGAAGGAGGCCCUAUGGGCUGUGAACCGCUUUUGCCUGGGGGCAAUAAGGGCGUCGCGCACGUCCGAUGAGAGUACCAGGCGAAUAAGCAUCGGCUAACUCCGUGCCAGCAGCCGCGGUAAUACGGGGGAUGCGAGCGUUAUCCGGAUUCAUUGGGUUUAAAGGGUGCGUAGGCUGUGCGUCAAGUCGGGGGUGAAAUUCCGGUGCUCAACACCGGGGCUGCCCUUGAUACUGUCGCGCUGGAGUGCGGAUGCCGCCGGAGGAAUGAGUGGUGUAGCGGUGAAAUGCUUAGAUAUCACUCAGAACACCGAUUGCGAAGGCAUCUGGCGAAUCCGUAACUGACGCUGAGGCACGAAAGCGUGGGGAUAGAACAGGAUUAGAUACCCUGGUAUUCCACGCCGUAAACGAUGAUGGCUAACCGCCGGCGACACACUGUCGGUGGCCAAGCGAAAGCGAUAAGCCAUCCACCUGGGGAGUACGUCGGCAACGAUGAAACUCAAAGGAAUUGACGGGGGCCCGCACAAGCGGAGGAACAUGUGGUUUAAUUCGAUGAUACGCGAGGAACCUUACCCGGGUUUGAACGUAGUCUGACCGGAGUGGAAACACUCUUUCUAGCAAUAGCAGAUUACGAGGUGCUGCAUGGUUGUCGUCAGCUCGUGCCGUGAGGUGUCGGCUCAAGUGCCAUAACGAGCGCAACCCCUGCCGCCAGUUGCCAUCAGGUCAUGCUGGGCACUCUGGCGGGACUGCCACCGCAAGGUGUGAGGAGGGGGGGGAUGACGUCAAAUCAGCACGGCCCUUACGUCCGGGGCGACACACGUGUUACAAUGGCGGCCACAGAGGGAUGCUACCCCGCGAGGGGAUGCGGAUCUCGAAAAGCCGUCCCAGUUCGGACUGGAGUCUGCAACCCGACUCCACGAAGUUGGAUUCGCUAGUAAUCGCGCAUCAGCCAUGGCGCGGUGAAUACGUUCCCGGGCCUUGUACACACCGCCCGUCAAGCCAUGGAAGCCGCGGGCGCCUGAAGUCCGUGACCGUAAGGAGCGGCCUAGGGCGAAAGUGGUAACUGGGGCU